rnacentral:rRNA from 1 species
AUUGAACGCUGGCGGCAUGCCUUACACAUGCAAGUCGAACGGCAGCGGGCCCUUCGGGGUGCCGGCGAGUGGCGAACGGGUGAGUAAUGCAUCGGAACGUACCCGGGAGAGGGGGAUAACCGGCCGAAAGGCUGGCUAAUACCGCAUGAACUCGGAAGAGCAAAGCGGGGGACCUUCGGGCCUCGCGCUCUCGGAGCGGCCGAUGUCCGAUUAGGCUAGUUGGUGGGGUAAAGGCCCACCAAGGCGACGAUCGGUAGCGGGUCUGAGAGGACGAUCCGCCACACUGGGACUGAGACACGGCCCAGACUCCUACGGGAGGCAGCAGUGGGGAAUCUUGGACAAUGGGCGCAAGCCUGAUCCAGCAAUGCCGCGUGGGUGAAGAAGGCCUUCGGGUUGUUAAGCCCUUUCGGCGGGGAAGAAAUCGGUCAGGCGAAUAGUCUGGCCGGAUGACGGUACCCGCAGAAGAAGCACCGGCUAACUACGUG